UAGAGCCUUCGCCGGGAGCCAGGAGUGCGACCACAAGGGACACCCAAAUGAAGACUGCGAACACCAAGAAGGUCCACCCAAUGGCCUUGUGCGAAGCAGCCUAGACGAGCUGGAGAACUGGCACAUCGAGCCGAGGCCCAGCACCAGCUGCAGGCCGGCAUCGGCGUGCGGGGAACGGCGGCCGACGACGGAGCCCAAGUACCUGUACUGCCGAGCGCAGCAGACGAGAGGAGAGGAACAGCUCGAACCCUGGAGUCUCCGUGACGCUACGACGUGCCAAGGCCAA